UGUUGAGGUAUCAGGAACUGAGAGAUGUUAAGCAAUCUAAUAUCCAGCUAGUAAGUCUCAGAGGAAGAUCUGGCUGCCACAUUGUUUUAAUGACAUCAUGCUCUUAAGUGCUAAAAACAAGAUCAUAAGGACCACGGAAGACAAACUAGAAAACAAAAAGGCUGAACAGGAAGGAAGGUUUAAAUGGUGGUCAUGAUGCAUUCAUUCACUUCCUCAAGGCUGCAAGGAGGAAGUGGUAUAAACAUGACAAAUGUAAAAUUGGCCACUAUAAAUCAUGUUCCUAGAGGCUGCAUCUAUACACAUCCGCAUAAAAUAAAAAUAAUUCCAC